UGUAUGUUUGAGGCAUUCUGCAGUCACGCACAUAGUAUGAGUGGGCAAGCAUACUAGUAUUCAAUAACACUACAUGAAUUUAACGUUCGGCCAUUCUGCAAAUCAUGCACACAUUGUGAGUGAGCAUUCUAUAUAAGGAAAGCUUAUCGCAGUAGAAAUAAUAUUCAUGGCAUAACAAAACAAAUAUUGUUGGUCGGUUUAUUCUUUCUAGCUUCAAUAUUUUAGCAUCCCAAUUUCGUUACAGAAUUUAGUAUUUUGGUGGAAUUCGUAGCAUUCUCAGUAAAAUGAUGUAUUGUAUUAGGUUAGGUGCCCUAUUUGGUUAUAGGAGGCAUUGGAAAAUAAUAUUACGUCUGUGUGAGCAAAGCAUUAGUCAUGAGCUUCCUUUGGAUCCGACGCAAGUUCUGAUGUCGGCUUAAGUAUGUGAACUCAAUGUUGGAGAUAUUUUACAUGCCAUCUUUCAAAUAUUUAUGUAUUCUUAUCACAAUGAGAACUAAUUUAUUAGUUGAACUAUAUCUAACUUCUCCUACUGAGGUUAAAUUACCUCAUGUUAGUGCUGUUGGGAUAUUAGCAUAUGGUUUUAACAAGCCCAUAAAUCAUUCAAGUAGUCUAAAUCCUUAGAUAUUUCAUUGCUAAUCCUAAACAAGUACAUUGAUAUGUAAUGAACAGGAACUUCCGAUAUUUGUGGGAAACUCCAAGUACUUGAUUUAUUAUUAAGUGUUAUCAAGUUAGGUGAGCAAAUGAUAGUCUUGGUCACUUUAUCUUUUAAAGAAUUAAAGCACAUGGUGGCUACUCAUGCCUCUAAGAAAGCCACGUAUACUAAAAAAACUACGUUCAAAUGU